rnacentral:rRNA from 1 species
UUUACGGCUGGCGGCAGGCUUAACACAUGCAAGUCGAGCGGAGAGAGGUAGCUUGCUACUGAUCUUAGCGGCGGACGGGUGAGUAAUGCUUAGGAAUCUGCCUAUUAGUGGGGGACAACAUUUCGAAAGGAAUGCUAAUACCGCAUACGUCCUACGGGAGAAAGCAGGGGAUCUUCGGACCUUGCGCUAAUAGAUGAGCCUAAGUCGGAUUAGCUAGUUGGUGGGGUAAAGGCCUACCAAGGCGACGAUCUGUAGCGGGUCUGAGAGGAUGAUCCGCCACACUGGGACUGAGACACGGCCCAGACUCCUACGGGAGGCAGCAGUGGGGAAUAUUGGACAAUGGGCGCAAGCCUGAUCCAGCCAUGCCGCGUGUGUGAAGAAGGCCUUAUGGUUGUAAAGCACUUUAAGCGAGGAGGAGGCUACUUUAGUUAAUACCUAGAGAUAGUGGACGUUACUCGCAGAAUAAGCACCGGCUAACUCUGUGCCAGCAGCCGCGGUAAUACAGAGGGUGCAAGCGUUAAUCGGAUUUACUGGGCGUAAAGCGCGCGUAGGCGGCUAAUUAAGUCAAAUGUGAAAUCCCCGAGCUUAACUUGGGAAUUGCAUUCGAUACUGGUUAGCUAGAGUGUGGGAGAGGAUGGUAGAAUUCCAGUGUAGGGCAAAAGGCAAGAAUCUAAAGCAAUACCGACGGCGAAGCAGCCACUGGACGAACACUGACGCUCAGUGCGAAAGCAUGGGGAGCAAACAGGAUUAGAUACCCUGGUAGUCCACGCCGUAAACGAUGUCGACUAGCAGGUUGGGCCCUUGAGCGUGGUGCCGCAGCUAACGCGAUAAAUAGACCGCCUGGGGAGUACGGCCGCAAGACUAAAACUCAAAUGAAUUGACGGGGGCCCGCACAAGCGGUGGAGCAUGUGAUUUAAUCGAUGCAACGCGAGACCGUACUACCUGGACAUAGAGACCUUCAGAGAUGAAUGGUGCUUCGGAACACAGAGACAGGUGCUGCAUGGCUGUCGUCAGCUCGUGUUGUGAAAUGUUGGGUUAAGUCCCGCAACGAGCGCAACCCUUAUCCUUUGUUGCCAGCGGUUCGGCCGGGAACUCAAAGGAGACUGCCAGUGAUAAACUGGAGGAAGGUGGGGAUGACGUCAAGUCAUCAUGGCCCUUACGAGUAGGGCUACACACGUGCUACAAUGGCGUAUACAAAGAGAAGCGACCUCGCGAGAGCAAGCGGACCUCAUAAAGUACGUCGUAGUCCGGAUUGGAGUCUGCAACUCGACUCCAUGAAGUCGGAAUCGCUAGUAAUCGUAGAUCAGAAUGCUACGGUGAAUACGUUCCGGGGCCUUGUACACACCGCCCGUCACACCAUGGGGAGUGGGUUGCAAAAGAAGUAGUAGCUUAACCCUUCGGGAGGCGCUUACCACUUUGUGAUUCAUGACUGGGGGUGAAGUCGUAACAGGUAGCCAGUAG